AUCAACUUUCGAUGGUAGGAUAGAGGCCUACCAUGGUGGUAACGGGUAACGGGGUGUUAGGGCACGACACCGGAGAGGGAGCCUGAGAAACGGCUACCACAUCCAAGGAUGGCAGCAGGCGCGCAAAUUACCCAAUCCCGACACGGGGAGGUAGUGACAAUAAAUAACAAUACGGGGUUCUUUCGGAUCUCGUAAUUGGAAUGAGUACAAUUUAAAUCUCUUAACGAGGAACAAUUGGAGGGCAAGUCUGGUGCCAGCAGCCGCGGUAAUUCCAGCUCCAAUAGCGUAUAUUAAAGUUGUUGCAGUUAAAAAGCUCGUAGUUGAAUUUCGGGAUCAAUAUGUUGGUCGUGCCUCGGUACGUACUGGCGUCAUUGGUUUCUACCUUCUGAAGAACCUCGAUGUCAUUAAUUUGGUGUCUUGGGGAAUCAGGACUGUUACUUUGAAAAAAUUAGAGUGUUUAAAGCAGGCUCACGCUUGAAUACAUUAGCAUGGAAUAAUGAAAUAGGACGUUUGAUUCUAUUUUGUUGGUUUCUAGGAUCGACGUAAUGAUUAAUAGGGAUAGUUGGGGGCAUUAGUAUUCAAUUGUCAGAGGUGAAAUUCUUGGAUUUAUUGAAGACUAACUACUGCGAAAGCAUUUGCCAAGGAUGUUUUCAUUAAUCAAGAACGAAAGUUAGGGGAUCGAAGACGAUCAGAUACCGUCGUAGUCUUAACCAUAAACUAUGCCGACUAGGGAUCGGAUGAUGUUAAUUUUUUAAUGACUCAUUCGGCGCCUUACGGGAAACCAAAGUGUUUGGGUUC
rnacentral:rRNA from 1 species